GUUUGCACUUAUCGGGGAAGGGUGAGAACCUUCGAUUAAGGUUCGACUCGAGCGAAAGCGAGAGAACGUUGCCAACGGCAACGGCCCGUAGGGUGAGGAG
rnacentral:sRNA from 1 species